AGCUCUGCACAGUGGCAGUAUUGUAGCCAAUGAGGUUUAUCCGAGUUGCGAUUAUUGCUAAUUGAAAACUUAAAAAGCUCAGGAAGGGCUGGGCAUGGUGGUUCACACCUGUAAUCCCAGCACUUUGGGAGGUCAA